UGCCAGCAGCCGCGGUAAUACAGAGGGUGCGAGCGUUAAUCGGAUUUACUGGGCGUAAAGCGUGCGUAGGCGGCUUUUUAAGUCGGAUGUGAAAUCCCCGAGCUUAACUUGGGAAUUGCAUUCGAUACUGGGAAGCUAGAGUAUGGGAGAGGAUGGUAGAAUUCCAGGUGUAGCGGUGAAAUGCGYAGAUAUCAGGAAGAACACCGGUGGCGAAGGCGGGUCUCUGGGCCGAUACUGACGCUGAGGAGCGAAAGCGUGGGGAGCAAACAGGAUUAGAUACCCUGGUAGUCC
rnacentral:rRNA from 1 species